rnacentral:lncRNA from 1 species
AUCCUUUAAUUCAAUAAUAAUUAAUGAAUUAAUUUUUAUAAUUUUUACAUAAGGUUAAUCAUCAAUCGAAUUGACGAUUAAAUCCUAGAAUGAUUCUCAAUCAUUGAUCAGCCACAUGAUCAGUGAAUUUUUUUUUUUGAGUAUGAUCCUAUAGGUUCGAACCUAAGUCGGUAGUAUAGAAACGAACUUCUUAUACCAAUAAAGCAACCAUCUAGUAAUAGUACCCGACAUCCGGAUAGGUCGAA